AUGUAAUGCCUACAAUGUUAAUGCAUUGGAUCCCAUUAUAACUCUGUAGUUAAGCACGUUUUAGCUAGAGUAGUACUGGGAUGGGUGACCUCUCAAGAAGUCCUAGUGUUUUACAUG
rfam:Picea glauca, whole genome shotgun sequence.